AAGCAUAAUGAGGGUACUUUUUAAGCAUUUCCUUAAAAUUUUCCCAACUCUCAUAAAUUGACACUCCAACAAACUGGAAAAAAGAUGUUAUAUCAUUCCUAAGCUU